GAUGAACGCUGGCGGCGUGCCUAAUACAUGCAAGUCGAGCGAAUGGAUUAAGAGCUUGCUCUUAUGAAGUUAGCGGCGGACGGGUGAGUAACACGUGGGUAACCUGCCCAUAAGACUGGGAUAACUCCGGGAAACCGGGGCUAAUACCGGAUAACAUUUUGAACCGCAUGGUUCGAAAUUGAAAGGCGGCUUCGGCUGUCACUUAUGGAUGGACCCGCGUCGCAUUAGCUAGUUGGUGAGGUAACGGCUCACCAAGGCAACGAUGCGUAGCCGACCUGAGAGGGUGAUCGGCCACACUGGGACUGAGACACGGCCCAGACUCCUACGGGAGGCAGCAGUAGGGAAUCUUCCGCAAUGGACGAAAGUCUGACGGAGCAACGCCGCGUGAGUGAUGAAGGCUUUCGGGUCGUAAAACUCUGUUGUUAAGGAAGAACGCCAGGUAGAGUAACUGCUACCUGUGUGACGGUACCUAACCAGAAAGCCACGGCUAACUACGUGCCAGCCGCCGCGGUAA
rnacentral:rRNA from 1 species